AAACUAGGGGUUGAUUACUUUAAAAGAGCAAGUAAAGUUCAUGGUCUUAAAACAGGAUAUUAUUUUCAAAAUUUAAGCUAUUUAAACUCACAGAUUUAGUUGAGAAAGUUUAUAUGGUCAAAUUGUUUAACUUGAAAUGGUUUUAAAAGAUAUGCAGAGCUGAAAAAGGGUGUUUUAAAUGUCCUGUUCAUCAACCCAUACGACCAAAUGGGCUGGAUAUAAAUUUAAGAUUUAUUCAUUAGAAUUUUUUUUUAUUACAACGGAUGCUUAACGUGAUUAGCAUAUUUCCAAAAAAAAAAAAAUAUUUUACAUUUGACCCUAGGAUUUCGUUUACCUCUGCACGUUACUUUAUAACAAGAAGAUGGUAUUUUUGGCCAUGUUUUGCUACUUAGUUGUUGUGUGUGUUUCGUUUUUUUGUUAGCUUUAUAUUUUUUUCUUGGUAAUUUAUUUUAUUCCUGAAAUCCUAAAAUAUUAUAUAUGAUGUCAAUUUUGUGAAAGUCGAAUGCGACUAUCGCAUAUUGAUUUAUUGAUAUCGAAUUGGUUUCGUCUAAAAGAAAUACAUCCACGGAGUGUAAACUAAUUAUGUUCAGCACAGGUUCACUUUUUCGACUUACUCCAGUCGUGCUUCCUGGUGGUAUGACAGCUCGCUAAGUAACUUAAGGUUUAUGUAUUUUUUUUAAUUCUUCAAAAGGUUUUUUUAUAUAUUUAAAAGGGAUUAUUUGUUAACACAUGGUUUCGAACUUUGCAUAAAUUUUGUCAAAGGUGAAUUACAAGAACUAUGUAAAUCUUAUUGGGUAAUUUAAAGAACAAAAACCUUUCAUUAAAGUUAUGGUUUUUGAAUAUACUCCAAGUGGAACUCUCUUCGAGCACCUACACAGUAAGUUACUUGGGUCAACUUUGACUUUUUCAUCACUUUUGUUAGAUUAGAUAAUUAGAUUGUAUGCAUACCUUUUGUUUCAAAAUUUUAAACUGAUAUAUGUUUUUUUGCCAGUCUUAAGAUCGGUGUUGCAAGUGUUCAACACCGACGACUAACCUAUUCGUUAAACAUCGCGAAACAUAGCAUCUGUGAAUUGUGAUUAUAAUAGUCAUAAACACCAUGACAGGCAAGUACUAUGUGUAGGAAACAAAUCCCCCACUAGGGGUGACAAGAGAAAGAACAAAGAAAAUGAGAGGAUACUUGGAUGUCUUCACGACUUCACUAAUGACAACAAAACUACUUAUCGUUAUGUAAAGAACAAAUUGGCCUUUUGGUCUUUUCGCUUAUGGCUAUCAUGCUUGAUAUUCUUAUAACACACAAAAUAGGCCAUCACCGGGUAACACACUACAAAUUGUAUGAUUCAUAGAAUGUAGCAUCUUAUAAUAGUUGUUACCGACUUAAAACUGUUGCUAGGAUUUUUUUUAUCAGUUUGUAGGUCAGAUUACAUAUGGUUGUUUGUAAAAUGGGUCAACUUUCCUCACUGCAUCGCGUGGGCCAGAGGUGAAAUGGAUGCAAGCAGAGAUCUUCAACCACAUACUAUUUGGCAUUAAAACCAAAGGUGAAAGAAACUAGAGGUGAGUAUUUGGAGGCGGUGUGGUGUAAUGUUUAAUAUUGUGUUUAUAUUUUGUGUGAAUAUUGUGAAUGAGUAUUUGAGUGCUAUUUUUGCAUGAUUUUGAUCGAA